AUGGACUUUGGGCUCAGCUGGGUUUUCCUUGUGGCUAUGUUAAGAGGUAUCCAGUGUGAGGUGCAGCUGGUGGAGUCUGGGGGAGGCUUGGUGCAGCCUGGGGGGUCUCUGCGACUCUCCUGUGCAGCCUCUGGAUUCACCUUCAGUAACUACAGCAUGAACUGGGUCCGCCAGGCUCCAGGGAAGGGGCUCGAGUGGGUCUCAUUCAUCAGUCAAACUGGUAAGAAUAUAAACUAUGCCGAUUCCGUGAAGGGCCGAUUCACCAUCUCCAGAGACAAUGCCAAGAACACGCUGUAUCUGCAAAUGAGCAGCCUGAGAGCCGAGGACACAGCCGUGUAUUACUGUGCCAGAAGCACAAAGCCUUAUGACACAGGACAUCCUGAUGGAACCUCCUGUACAGAGCACCGUGGUGGACACCUCAUGGGUGGUGAUAGUGAGACGUAA